CCUUGUAGGUCAAGCCGCGGCAGACACAGCUGGGUCUUGAAGAAGUACUGUGGUGCGUGUGUGAGUGUGUUGGGGCUGCUGCCAGACUACAAUGGACUAGGCUGGAAGACCUGCCAUAUAACUGCUGCCGUCGUGGCACUGCCAGGACUUGCUGGACUAUAGCAGACAUCCCAGACCACAUAGACCACUCUGUUGUAAGGUCAUACCCCCAUACCCUUCUCUGCAGUAGAGAGUGAAACACCUGUAGGUGUCAAGCAGAAAUGAGUAACACUCACCCAUUACUGUGCCUCGUCUCAAACUGUAGCACCUUGGUCCUCCAUGUGUCACCCUGCUUCUCCAACCCCAGCUGUUCUUUCAUUGCCUAAUUAGGUUUGGAUGGUUAGAACACUUGUAGUAGACUUUUAUGCAUUGCUUCCCAUAUGUGGUGCCUGCCAGAACAAAGAGGAUGCACAGCACCUCUAGAGCCUGCCUGUGUGUGCGACUGACUUCCUGCACAGUCUUGACACUGAUGGUCAUAUCCAGCAUGAACCACUUCCUGGAUCCACACAACCAGCCUAACACUGACAGAAAAGAUAGAUUUAUGGAAUAGGCAUGAUAGGUAAAAUAUACAUACAUAGGUUUCAUAUAGCAACUGGUACAUAUAUAUAUAGACAGACCUGUUGGCUCUGCAGUUUUUGCCUGUUUUUAAGUGGAGAAACUUAAAAUGUUUAUAGUUGGAUUGCUAGUUCAAUUGUUGUUGCCACAUCAUCAUCAGUGAACAGCACUUUCAGUUGAAAUCAUGUAUUCUGGUGGUUCUUGUAUUCUCACACAAUUUCCUCAUGGUGACUCAAGGCUGCAUGCAUCAGAAGUGUACCAGCUCUUAGCCCUUCAUGUGUGGUGAACCAGGAAAACUGUGCCCAACAGCCAUAUAUGAUUGAUUAAUAUUACAUAUUUUCCUUCAUGUACUAUUGAGUGCAUGUUCUAUAGUGAGGAUGCUGCUCUUCUGCAUUUUUGUUUUAGGUGAAUGAAUGGUAAGUCAGUAUC